CCUACGGGGGGCAGCAGUGGGGAAUCUUGCGCAAUGGGCGAAAGCCUGACGCAGCCAUGCCGCGUGGAUGAUGAAGGUCUUAGGAUUGUAAAAUCCUUUCAGCGGGGACGCGGUACCCGCAGAAGAAGCCCCGGCUAACUUCGUGCCAGCAGCCGCGGUAAUACGAAGGGGGCUAGCGUUGCUCGGAAUUACUGGGCGUAAAGGGAGCGUAGGCGGAUAUUUAAGUCGGGGGUGAAAGCCCAGGGCUCAACCCUGGAACUGCCUUCGAUACUGGAUAUCUAGAGUAUGGGAGAGGUGUGUGGAACUCCGAGUGUAGAGGUGAAAUUCGUAGAUAUUCGGAAGAACACCAGUGGCGAAGGCGACACACUGGCCAUACUGACGCUGAGGCUCGAAAGCGUGGGGAGCAAACAGGAUUAGAUACCCUAGUAGUC
rnacentral:rRNA from 1 species